UCCUGGUUAGUUCAGUUGGUAGAGCGCUCCACUGGAAAUGGAGAGGUUCCUGGUUCGAUCCCAAGACCAGGCG
rfam:Ixodes scapularis strain Wikel colony gcontig_1108378739640, whole genome shotgun sequence.